CCUACGGGGGGCAGCAGUGGGGAAUAUUGCACAAUGGGGGAAACCCUGCCCCAGCAACGCCGCGUGAAUGAUGAAGGUCUUCGGAUUGUAAAGUUCUUUUCUAAGUGAAGAAGAAAGUGACGGUACCUUAGGAAUAAGCCUCGGCUAACUACGGGCCAGCAGCCGCGGUAAUACGUAGGAGGCGAGCGUUAUCCGGAAUGACUGGGCGGAAAGGGUGCGUAGGUGGUUUGGCAAGUUAGUAGCGUAACUCCAAGGCUCAACCUUGGCACUACUACUAAAACUGUUGGACUUGAGUGCAGGAGGGGCAACCGGAAUUCCUAGGGUAGCGGUGGAAUGCGUAGAUAUUAGGAGGAGCAACAGUGGCGAAGGCGGGUUGCUAGACUGUAACUGACACUGAGGCACGAAAGCGUGGGGAGCAAACAGGAUUAGAUACCCCUGUAGUC
rnacentral:rRNA from 1 species